GGCCCAAUGGUCUAGUAGUAUGAUUCCUGCUUCGGGUGCAGGAGGUCCCGGGUUCAACUCCCGGUUGGGCCC
rnacentral:tRNA from 1 species